rnacentral:rRNA from 1 species
CAGACUGCUCAGUAACACGUGGCUAACCUAAUCUUAGGUGGGGGAUAUUCUUGCGAAAGUGAGGUUAAUACCCCAUAGUUGUUGGAUGCUGGAAUGCGCUGACAAUCAAAGUUCAGGCGCCUAAGAAUGGGGCUGCGACGUAUCAGGCAGUUGUGAGUUUAAAAUACUCACAAGCCUAUAACGCGUAGGGGCCAUGAGAGUGGGAGCCUCGAGAUGCCUUCUGAGACAUGAAGGCAGGUCCUACGGGACGCAGCAGGCGCGAAAACUUUCCAAUUCGUUAACGCGUGAGAAGGGAAUCCUGAGUGGUUAUGCUAUGCAUAACCUUUUCUUUAAUUUAAACAGUUAGGGGAAUAAGUGGUGGGUAAGACAGGUGCCAGCCGCCGCGGUAAUACCUGCGCCACGAAUGGUGAUCACGAUUAUUGGGUCUAAAGCGUCCGUAGCCGGUUUAGCAAGUUCUUGGUGAAAUCUGGCAGUAAACUGUCAGGCAUGCUGAGAAUACUACUAGACUUGAGAUCGGGAUAGGGUGGGGGUAUUCCAUGUGUAGGGGUUAAAUCCUUUAAUCCAUGGAGGACCACCGGUGGCGAAGGCGUCCACCUGGAACGAGUCUGACGGUGAGGGACGAAAGCGUGGGGAGCAAAAGGGAUUAGAUACCCCUGUAGUCCACGCUGUAAACGAUGUCCGUUUGAUGUCACAAACCUUACGUGGGUUUGUGGUGUCGGAGUGUAGAUGUUAAGCGGACCACCUGGGGAGUACGGCCGCAAGGUUGAAACUUAAGGGAAUUGGCGGGGGAACACACAAGAGGUGGAGACUGCGGUUUAAUUGGAUUCAACGCCGGGAAGGGC